GCCCAAUAAACGAAGGAGAGAUGCUGGACCGGCCGAACCGGAUCCCCAAUUCUAGCGAAGAAGUUACAGAACCCUAAACUGGUUAUUGUUCGCUGUGAUCUGGAAAGACUGAUGUUUGUUCUUCGCAAGGGAAAUAUUUCAUUCUGCUAUGUGUUCAAUUGCUUUGGUAGCUGGUUCUGGAUCUCUCUAUCAGCUUGUGUGCUGCAAGGAUCAUUGUUCUUGCUGUCCAUCUGAUUAUGGCUAUAUGGUUCAAGCAUCGCUUGCUAAAAUCCUAGCAAAACUCAAAUUUCUCCCCUCUUCCUAGCAAUCACAGCAUAUAUCAUUGCUGUCACCAAAUGGGAAUCUAAAUUUGAGAAGCCAUUUUCAAAGAAAAGCUUCUGUAGGUAAUCUUGUGUUAUUUUAU